rnacentral:lncRNA from 1 species
GGUGACAGAUGGGCACUGGAGGGAAGCUGACAGAAGGAAUGUCCCAGGGUGACACAUCUGCUUGUUUUGUCACUGCCCAGCCAGCAGAGGCAACCACACAAGAGGUGCAUGAUGCCCGCUUUUCAGCAGGACCCUGAUGGAAAUUAAUGUAUUAAUGUCACACAUAAAGAAUGUGAAGGAGCUUAAAUUAAUAUUCACUCCCCAGGGACCUUGGCAAUUUCCAACAAGGCUUCGAGGAGUCACAGGGGAUGUGGAAAGUCGGAGGAGCAGUAGUUGGAAGCAUUGGGCAGUUUUUAAUCUAAAGAGGCUUUGAGCUUGUGAAGCUUGACUCUGGGGAGCAAGAAGAGUGUGGGCAAAAGCCAGGUCUCUGCAGGUCCUCUUCCCUGUUCAGGCUCAGGUGCUUUUAGCUCUAGAAAUUUCUCCCCACCUCACACUCCCUUGGCCUUCACCCUCCACCCUUCAUCUUCUUCUGCAAUCUUAAUUUCCAAGGUGGUCUCUUCAAUAGAAAGAUGUGGAACUCCACCCCCUGCUUCUCCCCUGGCCUCCCUGCCUGGCCAGCCCUCGCCCAGCCAUGUCUGUGCUGUGUGACAUUAGCAGUGUGCUUGCUCUCUCUGUGCCCUCCUUCCUUAUUUGAGAUCAUGACUGUAAUUACUUUGCAGGGGAGAUGGGUUGAUAGGUGGAAUAUGGGUUUAGCUCAGGCCUGCCACCUGUCCACCACUGUUGCCUGUCCAUGUGAGUGGCAGCCUCCUGGAGCGGGGUUCAGGUGACCUCAGGGUGACCAAGGAGGAAAGCCACGAGGACCCUCACCUUGCACCAGGGAGGCAGGUCCAUAUGUGGUUGCCUGGACCACACCAGGGAUGCUCACAUCUUCUUUUGUUUUGAGGGACCUGUGCCUGGCACCUCUCACAUGCUGGCUUUCUCUUUUCUUUCUCUGCAAUUUUAUUUCAUUCAUUCUUUUUUUUUUUUUUUUUUUUUUUUUUUUGCAGUUUUAAUGAGGGAUUAAAUGGUGUUCUGCACAGCAUGCAGUCAUUUUAUUUUAAACUUUGGAAUGAUUCUAGAUGUGCAGAAAGUUGCAACAAUAGUUCGCAGCCCCUUCACCCAGCUCCCUGAUGCAACAUCUUAAAUCACCUGGUGCUUUGCUCAGGCCUGUGGGAACAGCGUCCUUCUGACAGACUCGGCCCUGUUGGGAUUGAUGGGUCCUGGGAAUGUCCUUUUUCUGCCCCAGUCAGAGUCCCACACUGUGUCUGCAGUUACUUUUCCCCAGUCCCCUCCAAGCUGUGAUGCUUCCUUGGUCCUCCUUCCUGUCUUUGGGCCUCGGCACUUUUGAGGAGGACCAGUCAGGUGUCCUGUGGUUUGUGCCUCUGCUUGGGUUUCUCUGCUCUUUCCUCCCCAUUGGGCCUGGGCUGAGGGUUUGAGGAGACCAGAGCGGAAGGUACUUAUCAUUUCUCAUCAGGGGUUAGUUUUUUAUAAGAGUUGACUCAGGGAGUUCCCGAUGUGGCACAUUGGGUUAAGAACCUGAUUGCAGCUGUUCAUGCAGCUGCAGAGGCCUGGGUUUGAUCUCCUCCAGGCACCAUGAUGAAAGGAUCCGGAUUCAAUCCCUGGCCUGGGAACUUCCAUAUGCUGCAGGUGAGGCUAUUAAAAAAAAAAAAAAAAAAAAAAAAGACUUAUUCUUGAUGGUCCUUCCAGCUCUGCUUCAUCUGUUAUUGCUUAAUGAGUCUACAAAUGAAGGUGCAAAGUGCUCUCACCAAGGUGCUGGCCCCGAGAUUCUCCUGAAUCUGAAACUUUCCUCCCGGUGCCGGUGCCGGUGCCGGUGCAGUGGAAGUCACAGCUUCAAGGCCUUCCUCACAUGUGGAUUGGCUCCGUGGCCCAAGGGAAAUGGUAACUAGAGCUUUUAAAAGACCUCUUUGGCUUUGGAGUUUCCUUGACUGAAGAAUUGCAGCCAAAGAGCAAAACCUUUUAUAUUUCUUCUCCUCUGUUUACCGGCUGCAUCCCAGCUCUGGGAGUUGUCUCUGAACACGUGUGACUCUGAAACCUUCAGUCAAGGAAGAACCGGCAGAAAAACAGUUCAUGCUUAGUUUAGAAAACUCAGAUGUGGAAGACAAGUUGUCCAGAAGGUAGCUGGUGUGAAAUAAUGAAGAGCAUCUGAGCAUCUGGACAGCCUGGUCCUGGCGAGUACCCUCCUGGUCCUGGCGGGGGAGGCCUCCUGGUCCUGGCAGGCCUUCUCAAUUCUGGGGGAGUAUCCGCCUGACCCCUCCUGGUCCUGGUGGGGACCGGAGCCUCUGGGAGAGUCCUUGUUGCUGAGGCGGCACUUAAUUCAUAACUGAGCCUCAUCGUGCUCACACUCACGUGCAGCUUCUCUGCAGCGCUGAUGAUGCUGUCGGGCUGCAUUUUCCUUGCUCACUGGCCCUGCUGCAUCAUCGUAAAGGGCCCAGGAUACAUUGCAGGUCUUAAAAGAUAUGUCCGCAAAGUAAUUUCUUUAAGAUGGAAAAAGUGAAAGGAAACGUCUCUGCUUCUUCACAGGUGAAGUAACCAGGCAGGCAGGGGGUGCAGGAGAGCCUUGCCGCCCUGAACCUCACACCCACCCUGCUGGGGUGGGGUUCUGGACUCCUGUUCUUGGACUCUGGCGCCUCCCAGCAGUCAUUCAUUCCUGGACUCCAGCUGCCAGCUUGUGGGAGGUUGUCCAAAUUCCCGUUCCUGAGCCUGGAGGGCAGACACGUUACCUGGUUACGUGGUUAUGUGAUCGUGUAAAGAAAGGGCAAUACCGUGAAUUCUUAUUUCUGGGGAUCCCCACCUGCCUUUUUUCAUUUAUAAAAACAUGUGUGUUAACUUAUGAUUAAGAAGACAGACUUUCAUGUACUGCUUAUGGUUCACGAAGCAGAAAUACUGCAUUUUAAACUUUAAAAGAUGUUUGCAAUGCUGUUUUUAAAGCUCGCCGUCAGAUGCCUACGGAAGACCUUUCCAGUGGGGUGAGAACAGUAGCACACAUCAGUGGGAUCCUCGAUCCAGUGCUCUGCUGGGUCAGCACAGGUGAUGCAGGGCAGGGUGAAGUGGAGGUUCUGCCCCAAGAUGCAGGCAAGAUGCAGGUUUGAUAUGCAGGCAAGCCUGGGGUCACCCAGGAAAGCACACAGCAGGUCUUUGUUGGCGAUGUGCUGUCAGCCUGUAUCGGCGGCCCAUCCAAAUUAUUAAAUUAUUAGAUGCAGGUAGACCCCCUUUUCCUGUCCUGUUGCUGAGCCCUGGCUUUCAUUGUUCAGGCUUCUCCAUCCUCUGGCUUUUGCUCACACGGGUCAGAGGCCGAUGUCCGCAGUUGCUAACUGUGCAGCAUUUUACUGGCGGCUGCCCUUGAGGUGCUUUUAUUUAGUCUGAUCCGCAGAGCCCGAAAAGGCCCUGUACGUUUGCGGCAGUUUCUUUCUUAAAAGCCACAGCAAACUUUCUUUAGAAGGGUAAUUACUUUAAUAAUGACUUUUGAUCAUUUCAGACUCUGAGAGGCUGGGGGAGUCCUGCCUCCCAAGGGCACCAGCCUCUGGCUUGGGUACUUCAUUUACACGUUCUCGGGAAAGUCCGAUUGGGUUCAAUUAGCAUUCCCUCCUGUUUAAUCCGUCAGACUUCUGUUUCCCAACCCGGGAUUGAGGGCGGGCUAAGCGCCUGUUGUGACUUUGACCUUGGCCUGGGUCUGCCUCUCCCGGCUUAGCUGGAAAUGUGUUAAAAGGACUUUGAUGGUAUAUAGAGGAAUAACUGAGCAUGAACACCUGAUUGUGAAGCCCUGUGCUCGCCUCCUUUUUAUUAGGACCAAAGGAUCAUGGAGUGAAUUAGAGCAAAACCCUUGAAGGAUUUUUCCCUGCGAGGCAGCUGUGAGAGCAGGUCUGCGGAGCUGGGCGCUGGUGGGGAUGAGGGCGAGCACUUUCAUUUUAAUCAUCUGGAAAAGCCUUGCUCGGAGGAUAGUAGUUUGCACAUAAGUAACGUUUUCUUUUUGCCCUAAUUUGCCUGGCUUGCUGCUGAUGGGAUGGCAUUUGGGGGCAGAGCGUGGCCUCAAUGCCGACCGCUGCUCUCUCCUGCCAGGAGGAGCCGUCUCAGUGCAGAAAGCAGUACUGUGGAUCAGUUAAUUAUAACUUCACUACGUUCCUCUUUCCGUCUUUGGUUUUUAUCCGCGGUCUCUAAUGAGCGGGGCUGUGUCUUUCUCUGCCCCCUGUGCGUGGGGACAUGUGUGGCCUCAAGCCUUCCUGGCUUUGGUGCUUCCACCUAUGUGGAUGUUCUGGAGACUUCUGUGUGUCAGGCCUGCAGUUCCUGGUAGAUGAAGUAUUACGGCGAGACUCGUCCUCCCCUUCUCUGGUAAUCCUGGGGGUUGCCUUUUGAUUAAAGUCGUACGGUGGUUUGAUUUGAGUUUGUAAGAAGGAGUCUCUGGGUUUGAAGCAUGGAAAUCGUAGGUAUCCUCUGCUGGGCGGGACCCACCAGUGCCAGGUGUGGCAAUGGGCAGGAGUGAUCUUGUGGCUCAGUGUGGCCACCAUGGGCUCUCCAGGAAAGCUUGGGAGCACUUCUGUGACAAAAGCACUCAGCAGAUGAAUUGAGAUGCCUUGAAGGAAAAUACUUUUUAAAUUUUUUUAAAUUAAAAAAACAUUUUUUUUUUCUUUUUUAGGGCCAUACCUGCAGCAUGUGGAGAGGUUCCUAGGCUUGGGUCCAAUCGGAGCUACAGCUGCUGGCCUACGCCACAGCCACAGCCAUGCCAGAUCUGAGUUGUGUCUGCAGCCUACACCACAGCUCACGGCACCGCUGGAUCCUUAACCCACUGAGCGAGGUCAGGGAUUGAACCUGGGUCCUUAUGGAUGCUAGUCAGAUUCGCUUCCGUUGAGCCACUAGGGGAACUCCCUAACUUUGAUUUUAAUCAGGAAUAUAUUAUGGUGCAAAAUAGGGUGGAAAGAGUUCAUAUGUUUUAUCUCUGGCUUUGGGGAAAAUCACUGGACAAGGGGGAGAGGAAGAGGGAGAGAGGCUUUUCCUUGAUGACCCCCCCUGCCCUGGACGGAGGCCAGCACUCCGGCCUGCAGAUGUAGAUGCCCAGAUGAACCAGCUACCUGCCCAGGUGUGAGUACCGCCUGGUGGGCGAGCUGGCCCAGGUGGGCAAGCAGCAGUUGUCUGUUGGCUGUCAGCAUAGCCAGUCCUGAGGGUGUGGGCCUGGGGCUCAGGCCCCAGAACCCGAUCUGGUGUGGUGAUGGGGUUGGACUUUGGUUUCUAUGCACUUCCUCCUUGAAUAUUUACACCAUGACUGAAUCUGGGAUCUGGGAUGGAACGAAGAAGGGAUCUGAAUAUGCUGGGGGCCAAGGAUAUCCCAGACACUGGCUUAAGUCUGUAGGUGCACUUUUUCCUCUCACAUCUGGGAGACCAGAUUCAUCGUUGUCGUCAUCCUAAAGAUGGGUUUCUGACAACUGCAGAAGCCCUGGGUGAUGAGUGACCUCCUCAAAUUCUCCUGAAGGCCAAAGUAAAGAGGAUGAUCCAGGGCUUUUUCAAAGCACUGGUCCAGGCAUGGCCAGGCUGCUACCUUGGACCCCCUGGUCCGAGGCUGCAGGUAGCAUCAUCCACUCACACCAUGAUUCUGUUUUCAGCAGGGGGGGGGGCGCUUGGUGGUGGUGAAG